AGCAGUGUACCAUAGUGGUAAGGCACAGGGCUCAUAACCGAAAGGUUGCUGGUUCGAUUCUAGGGCGCUGCUG